rnacentral:tRNA from 1 species
GAGAGAGGCUCGCCAGCAAUGAAGACUGCUAAUCUUCCCCUCCCUUAGUUGAACCCUAAGGCUCACUCA